ACCCAGGCUGCAAAAGGGGAGGAAAGGUAGUUUUCAGCUCAAAGUGCACAGCUGGAAGGGCUCCCCUCAUUCUGGACUCCAACUAAGGCUGCAGAUGCUUCGAUCUGCACUUAAAAACUGCAAAAACCUCAGCUUUUGGGUUCAUUAGGAGUAAAUUAGCCGCUGGUGCUCCUUAAAGGGACAUAGUUAGGUUGCAGCUAUGCCAAAAAAUGCUCUCAACAACCAUGUACAAUAAAACCAGAAUAGACAUUUGAGAUCCUCUUUGGUUUGCUUUUUUGGGAGGUUGUGUUUUUUUGGGGUUGGGGCUAGUGGGUUUUGGUUUUGGGGGUUUUGUUGUUGUUGUUGUUGUUUUUGUUAUUGUUGUUUUGGUUUUUUUUUCAUUUUGUUUGCUUGGGAGAAAAAAUUGGCUUGGACCAUGUGUCACAAAGCAGUCAACUCAUUUUCUAUUCCUUGCCAGCUUCUCUGUUUCUUGAGUAUUAGCAUAAUGCUGUUGUGUUUGGGUUGCAAACACUUGCGGGGGGGAAAAAAAAAAAAAAAGGAAAAAAAAAUCAAAACAGUAACAGAACCAGAAGUGAAAUCCCACCAACCUUUACAGUUAUUUUAGUCUUUCAUGAUCAUCAUUCAUAAAGUCCUA